GACGAACGCUGCCGGCGUGCUAAACACAUGCAAGUCGAACGGUAAGGCCCUUCGGGGUACACGAGUGGCGAACGGGUGGGUAACACGUGGGUGAUCUGCCCUGCACUUCGGGAGAAGCCUGGGAAACUGGGUCUAAUACCGGAGAGGACCACUGCCUGCAUGGGUGGAGGUGGAAAGCUUUUGCGGUGUGGGAUGGGCCCGUGGCCUAUGAUCUUGUUGGUGGGGUGAUGGCCUACUAAGGCGACGACGGGUAGCCGGCCUGAGAGGGUGACCGGCCACACUGGGACUGAGAUACGGCCCAGACUCCUACGGGAGGCAGCAGUGGGGAAUAUUGCACAAUGGGCGCAAGCCUGAUGCAGCGACGCCGCGUGAGGGAUGACGGCCUUCGGGUUGUAAACCUCUUUCAGCACCGACGAAGCGCAAGUGACGGUAGGUGCAGAAGAAGGACCGGCCAACUACGUGCCAGCCGCCGCCGUAA
rnacentral:rRNA from 1 species